AAUCCAUGGUGAGGACAUCUUCUCAUCAAAUCCUUAUACCUUUCCCAAGCUUCAUAUAGUGAUUCAGAAUCAAAUUGCAUAAAAGAAGUAAUAUCAUUUCGCAUUUU
rfam:Theobroma cacao cultivar Matina 1-6 chromosome 2, whole genome shotgun sequence.